UCUUCUCUUUAUUAUACUCCCUAUUAUUUCCUUCCAUGGUGACAACCUCAUUUUGGAAUAAGUUCUGUUGUGUUUGUGAAAGUUUACAUUACUUUUUUUUUUUUUUCUUUUUUUUGGGGGGGGGGGGCGGUGGUGGGGCAAUGGGGCUGCAGGCAUUGCCUGGGUGAGCCUCCACAAGGAAGCCCUGAAGUCCCUCCUGGCUCAAAGCAGCCCCAAAGAGAGCUGGGAGGUCUGCAAAGUCCAUGCUGGCAUUGUGGUCCGAGAUCGCUCGAAUGAGCCCCCGGCUGUCCUCCUGGCCGCCGCGGUACCUUCAAGUCUCGCGAGAGGCCUCAGCACCUUUCCCCCCCACCAGCUGACAUCUUCCUCAACUCUACCUUGGCUCCAGCUCAGGCUAACACUGUUAGGAAGUGAAUUCCAUCCUGAUUCAACCCCUGCUGCUGCUGCUGCUGCUGCUAAGUUGCUUCAGUCGUGUCCGACUCUGUGCGACCCCAUAGACGGCAGCCCACCAGGCUCCCCGGUCCCUGGGAUUCUCCAGGUAAGAACACUGGAGUGGGUUGCCAUUUCCUUCUCCAAUGC
rnacentral:lncRNA from 1 species